UGCUGGAGGUAUCAGAAGUGCGAAUGCUGACAUGAGUAACGAUAAAGGGAGUGAAAAACUCCCUCGCCGGAAGAUCAAGGGUUCCUGUCCAACGUUAAUCGGGGCAGGGUAAGUCGACCCCUAAGGCGAGGCCGAAAGGCGUAGUCGAUGGGAAACGGGUUAAUAUUCCCGUACUUCUUAUAAUUGCGAUGGAGGGACGGAGAAGGCUAGGUGAGCCUGGCGACGGUUGUCCAGGUCCAAGUAUGUAGGCUGAUGGUUUAGGCAAAUCCGGACCAUCUUAAGGCUGAGAUACGAUGUCGAGUCACUACGGUGAUGAAGUCAUUGAUGCCAUGCUUCCGGGAAAAGCUUCUAAGCUUCAGAUUAUAAG
rnacentral:rRNA from 1 species